GAGAUGGACAGAUCUGGGUUAUGACUGAGCUGGAGCUAUAAGAGAAACAAUGCUCACAAUGGCUUUUGUGGAGGGACUGCAGGAUUGCAAGCCCGAAUGGAGAUCUGCCUCUCCAAUGGACUUGCUCCGAGCAGCAAGAGGGUUGGAACAGAAUACAAAAAUGAUGAAGAAAGGAAUAAAUAGAAGUUGUGCAAGAUGGAAGCCAAAGUGCAGUGUAUGAGAAGAUUCAAUUAAUUGUCUGAUUGUAUUAUAGGAGUAACAAAAGAAGAGGAUAUAAAAAAAGUGAUCACUAUUUAAAUGAUAGAGGAUGAGAAUGCGCUGACAUAGUGAGGAGACGUCUGGGCGUCACAUUCUGCAGAGAGAAGUUUUAGCUGGAACAAGUCCAGGCGCAAUGAAGUGUGAUAUCCUUACAUUGGAUGGCCUCAGGAUUCAACAAUGCAGAACAGAAGAUUUGCAUUAUUUGCAUCUGUUAUGACCUAGGUAAAACAAUAAAAGAAAUUAAAGGAAAAGGGUACAGUGGUGGGAAUCCGGUGAAGCACCGGAGCAUGUAAUCCGAAAGUUUGACAGACGGUGGUAUAGAGCCUCUGAAGUACUUUCAAUAUAAACACUGCUGCCAUUUUCCAAGCUUCUAAUGGGGGAUUUGUCAGAGAAUAAGUGUUGUUCAAGCGACCAUGUUGUCCAUUUCCAACAAUGAUUGAACUCUGUACUACCUUUCUUAGAAAACUAUGAUUUUUCUGGAAGGAAAGCAGGAGGCCUCAUAGGGUUUGAGAAAUGUUCUAACAGGAUAUUCUCAAGAAGUGGCCCCCUUCAGAUUCAGGAAAAACAUCCUGUAUAGAUUAAGUAUUGUACCAUAUGGUAUGACAACACCCUUCUUG